rnacentral:rRNA from 1 species
GAUGAACGCUGGCGGCGUGCCUAAUACAUGCAAGUCGAACGAAACUUCUUUAUCACCGAGUGCUUGCACUCACCGAUAAAGAGUUGAGUGGCGAACGGGUGAGUAACACGUGGGCAACCUGCCCAAAAGAGGGGGAUAACACUUGGAAACAGGUGCUAAUACCGCAUAACCAUAGUUACCGCAUGGUAACUAUGUAAAAGGUGGCUAUACUACCGCUUCUGGAUGGGCCCGCGGCGCAUUAGCUAGUUGGUAGGGUAAAGGCUUACCAAGGCAAUGAUGCGUAGCCGAAUUGAGAGGUUGAUCGGCCACAUUGGGACUGAGACACGGCCCAAACUCCUACGGGAGGCAGCAGUAGGGAAUCUUCCACAAUGGGCGAAAGCCUGAUGGAGCAACGCCGCGUGGGUGAAGAAGGUCUUCGGAUCGUAAAACCCUGUUGUUAGAGAAGAAAGUGCGUGAGAGUAACUGUUCACGUUUCGACGGUAUCUAACCAGAAAGCCACGGCUAACUACGUG